rnacentral:rRNA from 1 species
GAUGCAUGUUCAGUGAAAUCGAGUAGGGCGGGACACGUGUUAUCCUGUCUGAAUAUGGGGGGACCAUCCUCCAAGGCUAAAUACUCCUGACUGACCGAUAGUGAACCAGUACCGUGAGGGAAAGGCGAAAAGAACCCCUGUGAGGGGAGUGAAAUAGAACCUGAAACCGUGUACGUACAAGCAGUAGGAGCACCUUCGUGGUGUGACUGCGUACCUUUUGUAUAAUGGGUCAGCGACUUAUAUUCAGUGGCAAGGUUAACCAUCUAGGGGAGCCGUAGGGAAACCGAGUCUUAACUGGGCGCCAUAGUCUCUGGAUAUAGACCCGAAACCGAGUGAUCUAGCCAUGGGCAGGUUGAAGGUUGAGUAACAUCAACUGGAGGACCGAACCGACUAAUGUUGAAAAAUUAGCGGAUGACUUGUGGCUAGGGGUGAAAGGCCAAUCAAACUCGGAGAUAGCUGGUUCUCCCCGAAAGCUAUUUAGGUAGCGCCUCGGACGAAUACUACUGGGGGUAGAGCACUGUUAAGGCUAGGGGGUCAUCCCGACUUACCAACCCUUUGCAAACUCCGAAUACCAGUAAGUACUAUCCGGGAGACACACGGCGGGUGCUAACGUCCGUCGUGGAGAGGGAAACAACCCAGACCGCCAGCUAAGGUCCCAAAUUACAGCUAAGUGGGAAACGAUGUGGGAAGGCUUAGACAGCUAGGAUGUUGGCUUAGAAGCAGCCAUCAUUUAAAGAAAGCGUAAUAGCUCACUAGUCGAGUCGGCCUGCGCGGAAGAUGUAACGGGGCUAAGUUGUAAACCGAAGCUGCGGCAAUGUUCUAUGAACAUUGGGUAGGGGAGCGUUCUGUAAGCCGUUGAAGGUGUGUUGUAAAGCAUGCUGGAGGUAUCAGAAGUGCGAAUGCUGACAUGAGUAACGACAAGGGGGGUGAAAAACCUCCCCGCCGGAAGACCAAGGGUUCCUGUCCAACGUUAAUCGGGGCAGGGUAAGUCGACCCCUAAGGCGAGGCUGAAAAGCGUAGUCGAUGGGAAACGGGUUAAUAUUCCCGUACUUCUUACAAUUGCGAUGGGGGGACGGAGAAGGCUAGGUGGGCCUGGCGACGGUUGUCCAGGUUCAAGUGCGUAGGCUGAGUGUUUAGGUAAAUCCGGACACUCUUAAGGCUGAGACACGACGUCGAGCUACUACGGUAGUGAAGUCAUUGAUGCCAUGCUUCCAGGAAAAGCCUCU